AAAAAGUGAAAUAAGGCAUGGUGAAACAUGAAGCACAUGAAAAUAAAUGGCAAGGCAAUAUGUGGAAAUGGCGCUCAAGCGGAAUCGAAGCAGGUUCCAGUUUAAAAUUCUAGCGCGCGCAAACACCACAUGACAUGAACAGUACGCGAAAUAUGGAUCAAACUCAUUUUCUGGAAAUUUUUCACAAGUUCUUCAUGUGUUCAUACAUUCAUAUGCUCAAGAACAAAUCUCCA
rnacentral:lncRNA from 1 species